GAUUGCGAAGGCAGCUUACUAAGGGUUUACUGACGCUGAUGCACGAAAGCGUGGGGAUCAAACAGGAUUAGAUACCCUGGUAGUCCACGCCGUAAACGAUGAUAACUCGCUGUUGGCGAUACACAGUCAGCGGCUUAGCGAAAGCGUUAAGUUAUCCACCUGGGGAGUACGCUCGCAAGAGUGAAACUCAAAGGAAUUGACGGGGGCCCGCACAAGCGGAGGAACAUGUGGUUUAAUUCGAUGAUACGCGAGGAACCUUACCUGGGCUUAAAUGUGCGCUGACCGCCGAAGAAAUUUGGUUUUUCGUAAGAACAGCGUACAAGGUGCUGCAUGGUUGUCGUCAGCUCGUGCCGUGAGGUGUCGGGUUAAGUCCCAUAACGAGCGCAACCCUUAUUGUCAGUUGCUAACAGGUCAAGCUGAGGACUCUGGCGAGACUGCCACCGUAAGGUGUGAGGAAGGUGGGGAUGACGUCAAAUCAGCACGGCCCUUAUGUCCAGGGCUACACACGUGUUACAAUGGCCGAUACAAAGGGCAGCUACCGGGCGACCGGAUGCUAAUCUCGAAAGUCGGUCUCAGUUCGGAUCGGAGUCUGCAACCCGACUCCGUGAAGCUGGAUUCGCUAGUAAUCGCGCAUCAGCCAUGGCGCGGUGAAUACGUUCCCGGGCCUUGUACACACCGCCCGUCAAACCAUGGGAGUUGGGGGUACCUGAAGUAUGUGACCGCGAGGAGCGUCCUAGGGUAAAACCAAUGACUGGGGUUA
rnacentral:rRNA from 1 species